UGUUCACUCGCUUGGACUUCCACCUCGAUGGAUAUUUUACAUUUUACAUGCAAAAUUGACAGAAGACCUGUUCUCAUUCUUAGAAUAAGGCAUAUUGGAUAGCACAGUAGAAUUGGGGAUUGGGAACAUCUCGCUCUUUGUAAUGGCAUAAACCGCAUGACCACGAAUUACUCCAAUCUUCCUUCUUUUCGUAAUAACAAGCAUGUGAUAAGGUCCCAGAAACUUUACAAACCCAACAAUUCCAUAACAAGUUGAAACGAAUUUAAGACCUCCAGUUGACUUGUUGCCUUCAUGUAUUCUUUUAAGUAGAUCAAUACAUUCAAUCUCAGAAUAUGUGGCAGAAUCUUCAUACAUAAUGAGUUCUGUAGGCUCUAAUCUAUCUAUCUUCAAAACUUUCCAAUAAGUUCUAGUUUUAUCUCUUCCAACCAUAUAGAAGUUCGAGGUAGUUUCGUAUAGGCGAAAUUUUUGUAGAUAUAAAGGUGUUGAAUCUUCUUGUUCAUUGUUUUCCGAUUGUUGAUGACUUUCUGAACCCAUAUCUCCGAUCCCAAAUCUCUGGACCGGCAACUCAGACUGCUUCCCCAAAUAAAAGAUAAACACUGAUACUAUAAAAUGAAAAACUUAUAAACUAAACUGUGCAAAAACAAAUCAGAUAUUUAAAGCAGAUAAAGGAAAUGAAGUAAACCGAAGAAAAAAUUGGUGCCAAGAAUGGCGGUAGAGGUAGAGUCAACUCAGAGAGAAAUUUGCAGAAUGAUUUGGAGAUUUCAGAUCCGAAGAGGUAAGCAAAAGAGUAGAGCUCCG
rnacentral:misc_RNA from 1 species